UACGUAGGGGGCGAACGUUGUCCGGAAUUAUUGGGCGUAAAGCGCGUGUAGGCGGUUUUGUAAGUCAAAUGUAAAAUCUCCGGGCUCAACCCGGAUCCGCAUUUGAUACUGUAAGACUUGAGAAAUGUAGAGGGAAGCGGAACUACCGGUGUAGCGGUGAAAUGCGUAGAUAUCGGUAGGAACACCAGUGGCGAAGGCGGCUUCCUGGACAUUUUCUGACGCUGAGACGCGAGAGCAAGGGGAGCAAACGGG
rnacentral:rRNA from 1 species